rnacentral:lncRNA from 1 species
CACUAGAACUUGUCACUAAAUAAAAGUGCAAAAAAACUAAAAUAUUAGUUAGAAAAAUAAAAUAUUAUUCGUGAUAAGAAUUAAAAUUCUAUCACUAAAAGGCAUCGGUGACAAUAAUUACUUGUCAUAGAAAAUAUUUUCUUGUCACAGAAAAAAAAUUCAAUGACAAUAUUUACUCGUCACUGAAACAACAAAAUAUUAAGCACCAAACCCC